UCUUGCCUCUACACCAACCUCACCUCAC
rnacentral:piRNA from 1 species